rnacentral:rRNA from 1 species
UACGGAGGAUGCGAGCGCUAUCCGGAUUUAUUGGGUUUAAAGGGUGCGUAGGCGGGCUCUUAAGUCAGCGGUAAAAAUUCGGGGCUCAACCCCGUCCGGCCGUUGAAACUGGGGGUCUUGAGUGGGCGAGAAGAAGGCGGAAUGCGUGGUGUAGCGGUGAAAUGCAUAGAUAUCACGCAGAACCCCGAUUGCGAAGGCAGCCUUCCGGCGCCCUACUGACGCUGAGGCACGAAAGUGCGGGGAUCGAACAGG